rnacentral:rRNA from 1 species
CCCCAGACUCCUACGGGAGGCAGCAGUGAGGAAUAUUGGUCAAUGGCCGAGAGGCUGAACCAGCCAAGUCGCGUGAGGGAAGACGGCCCUACGGGUUGUAAACCUCUUUUGUCGGGGAGCAAAGCGAGUCACGUGUGACUCAUUGAGAGUACCCGAAGAAAAAGCAUCGGCUAACUCCGUGCCAGCAGCCGCGGUAAUACGGAGGAUGCGAGCGUUAUCCGGAUUUAUUGGGUUUAAAGGGUGCGUAGGCGGGAUGCCAAGUCAGCGGUAAAAAUGCGGUGCUCAACGCCGUCGAGCCGUUGAAACUGGCAGUCUCGAGUUGGAGAGAAGUAUGCGGAAUGCGCGGUGUAGCGGUGAAAUGCUUAGAUAUUGCGCAGAACUCCGAUUGCGAAGGCAGCAUACCGGCGGCGAUCUGACGCUGAGGCACGAAAGCGUGGGUAUCGAACAGGAUUAGAUACCCCCGUAA